GGAGGGAAGAAGAAGCAAAGGAACAAAGAACGUGAUGUUGUAAACAAGGUUUCAUAAGUGAAAGAAAAACCUACAGGUAGCAAAAUGGGAAAAGGUUACAUCACUGAUUUGGCCUGAAGCUUGGCUCGAUAAUGUUAUGGCAAGUGUACCCGAAUUAGCCAUUUGUCACUAUAAAAAUGUCUCACAUGUUAGGAAUUUAUCUUCUAUGCUAACAAAAGCAGUCGAGUACUCGACUGCUGCAAGUGGGAUUAUCUUCAAUUGUGUAAGUGAUCAAGCAGUAACUUUAGACGGAAUGGCUAAACUAUGUGCCAAAGCAGCAGGUGUCAUUGAAGUUGCAAAGUAGGCCAGACAUCAAAUCAGUAAAAGUCAAAGGAUACUACAAAAUCCAGGCCAUGCGUUGCUGGUAGCACUUCAAAUCAUGGUGUCAGAAGGGGUACAGAUCGCUAUGCUUGACAUGGUGAAGACGGGGAUGAGGGAAGCAAUGUUUUGUCCAAAGAUCACGAAGAGAAGCAUGUCAUGAGGGAAUCAACACAUAUGUGAUGGCAAGUUUUCCCGAAUUAGCCAUUUGUGAUGGCAGGUUACACCACUGAUUUGGCUUGAAGCUUGGCUCGAUAAUGUGAUUGCAAGUUUACCUGAAUUAGCUAUUUGUUACCAUAAAAAUGUCUCUCAUGUUAGAGAUUUAUCUUAUAUGCUAACAAAAGUAGUCAAGUAUCCGACUGCUGCAAGUGGGAUUAUCUUUAGUAGUGUAAGUGAUCGAGGAGUAACUUUAGAUGGAAUGGCUUAACUAUGUACAACUUGAUAUUCGUUUGAAUAUGAGAAUAUUUAUGUUCUUCCUAUGCAAACUGUGUGUAA